UUAAAGUCAUGAGUAUAAAACAGCUCAGCAGAAGCUCCAUCCGCAGACAGACGUGCACACACACAGUCAAACACUCACUCUAAUUCAUUGAGAACCAUGGAUGUAUCACUGUGGGUCAGUCUCCUCUGUCUGCAGGGGUUUAUAUACACGGGCGCUUUUACCAGCUUGGACGGAGGCUGGGACUGCACCGCUGGAGAGGUCGCCAGGUUACAGGAAUCAGAUGGAAAGAUACAAGAACUCGUGAGAUCAAGGAGGGAUGCUUACCGCAGUCAGAUUGGAGCCGUCUCUGCAAAGGGUUUCCCCAAUGCACUGCUACAGACCAGAGAUAAUUCACUAGAGAAAACUGACAGGCCAAGGAAGUAUCUGUCCAAGAAAAAGAGACCAUCCAAAGUUCCGAAAAUUGGCUCUCUGUCACUGCUUAAACACAACCUCAAGUCUCCUCUUCAGAUAACAAGGGUAAGAAGAGAUGAGGAAGAAGAAAAAGACAUGAAAGAUCGUAAGCUGCGGCUGACGGCGAGGAAGAACCCCAGGAAGCGAACAGGAAUCCUUUCCGUUUUGGCAGAUGAGCAAAUCCAGACGGAGGGAAAAUGAAAAGACACCAAGAUGACUAUGUGAAAAGAACAGCAAAGAAUUGGAGGAAUGGUGAAAAGGAAAAUAAUUCUUCAAUAAUGGGCAAUUUGGUCCAUAAUGGGUUUCCCUGUUGCAUUACUGACAUAAAAAUAUAUUAUCUCUUACACUUUAGCUUUUGUUAGAGAACAUUAUUUAUACACAGAACAAUAUAUGUAUUGAACUUAUUUAGUGCAUAGCCUUUUCUUGUGUAAUUUAAAUAGAUAUUGAGAAAAUAUAUUCACUAAGAAUUUUUUUUUAAAAUACAGUCUGGACUUGCAUCUUGCAACUGGCAUUGCUGCCAAAUGCCGAAAUGGCAAACUUUAAUUAAAGAGUGUAUUG
rnacentral:lncRNA from 1 species